UACGUAGGGGGCAAGCGUUGUCCGGAUUUAUUGGGCGUAAAGAGCGUGUAGGCGGCCUGGUAGGUCAGUUGUGAAAACUCGAGGCUCAACCUCGAGACGCCGAUUGAAACCACCAGGCUAGAGUCCGGAAGAGGAGAGUGGAAUUCCCGGUGUAGCGGUGAAAUGCGCAGAUAUCGGGAAGAACACCGGUGGCGAAGGCGGUUCUCUGGGCCUUACCUGACGCUGAGGAGCGAAAGCGUGGGGAGCGAACAGG
rnacentral:rRNA from 1 species